CCCGCACAAGUGGUGGAGCAUGUGGUUUAAUUCGAUGAUACGCGAGGAACCUUACCUAGGCUAGAAUGCGCGUGACCGGCUCAGAGAUGAGCCUUUCCUUCGGGACACAAAGCAAGGUGCUGCAUGGCCGUCGUCAGCUCGUGCCGUGAGGUGUUGGGUUAAGUCCCGCAACGAGCGCAACCCCUACAUUUAGUUGCCAUCAGGUCAAGCUGGGGACUCUAGAUGGACUGCCUGCGCAAGCAGGAGGAAGGCGGGGACGACGUCAGGUCAUCAUGGCCCUUACGCCUAGGGCUACACACGUGCUACAAUGGGCGGUACAGAGGGUCGCUACCCAGGUCGACUGGAUG
rnacentral:rRNA from 1 species